rnacentral:rRNA from 1 species
AACGAACGCUGGCGGCAGGCUUAACACAUGCAAGUCGAGCGCCCCGCAAGGGGAGCGGCAGACGGGUGAGUAACGCGUGGGAACGUACCCUUUGCUACGGAAUAGCUCCGGGAAACUGGAAUUAAUACCGUAUGUGCCCUACGGGGGAAAGAUUUAUCGGCAAAGGAUCGGCCCGCGUUGGAUUAGCUAGUUGGUGGGGUAAUGGCCUACCAAGGCGACGAUCCAUAGCUGGUCUGAGAGGAUGAUUAGCCACAUUGGGACUGAGACACGGCCCAAACUCCUACGGGAGGCAGCAGUGGGGAAUAUUGGACAAUGGGCGCAAGCCCGAUCCAGCCAUGCCGCGUGAGUGAUGAAGGCCUUAGGGUUGUAAAGCUCUUUCACCGGAGAAGAUAAUGACGGUAUCCGGAGAAGAAGCCCCGGCUAACUUCGUGCCAGCAGCCGCCGUAACAC